rnacentral:rRNA from 1 species
UUCCUACGGGACGCAGCAGUGGGGGAUAUUGCACAAUGGGGGCAACCCUGAUGCAGCGACGCCGCGUGAGCGAUGGAGUACUUCGGUAUGUAAAGCUCUGUCAGCAGGGAAGAGAAUGACGGUACCUGACCAAGAAGCCCCGGCUAAAUACGUGCCAGCAGCCGCGGCAAUACGUAUGGGGCAAGCGUUAUCCGGAUUUACUGGGUGUAAAGGGAGCGUAGACGGCAUGGCAAGUCUGAUGUGAAAACCCGGGGCUCAACCCCGGGACUGCAUUGGAAACUGUCAGGCUAGAGUGUCGGAGAGGC